rnacentral:rRNA from 1 species
GAACGCUGGCGGCGUGCUUAACACAUGCAAGUCGAGCGGAAAGGCCCUUCGGGGUACUCGAGCGGCGAACGGGUGAGUAACACGUGAGUAACCUGCCCCAGGCUUUGGGAUAACCCUCGGAAACGGGGGCUAAUACCGAAUAUUCAUGCUGCGUGGCAUCAUGCGGUGUGGAAAGUUUUUCGGCUUGGGAUGGGCUCGCGGCCUAUCAGCUUGUUGGUGGGGUGAUGGCCUACCAAGGCGACGACGGGUAGCCGGCCUGAGAGGGCGACCGGCCACACUGGGACUGAGACACGGCCCAGACUCCUACGGGAGGCAGCAGUGGGGAAUAUUGCACAAUGGGCGGAAGCCUGAUGCAGCGACGCCGCGUGAGGGAUGAAGGCCUUCGGGUUGUAAACCUCUUUCGACAGGGACGAAGCGCAAGUGACGGUACCUGGAGAAGAAGCGCCGGCCAACUACGUGCCAGCAGCCGCGGUAAGACGUAGGGCGCGAGCGUUGUCCGGAUUUAUUGGGCGUAAAGAGCUCGUAGGCGG